UGUCAAAGGGGAGUGUAUCAGACUUCGAAUCUGGGGGUUGCGGGUUCGAGUCCCGC
rnacentral:tRNA from 1 species